rnacentral:rRNA from 1 species
GCGAAACCCACCACAAGAUGAGAUUUCUUUAAAGGGUCGUUGGAGAUUACAACGUUGAUAGGCUAUAGAUGUAAAGACAGUAAUGUCAAAGUCGAGUAGUACUAAUAACCCGUAAGCUUAUGUGA